UAUGUGAUCGUCUCUCGCAUAUCAAUAAGCGGAGGAAAAGAAACUAACAAGGAUUCCCCUAGUAGCGGCGAGUGAAGCGGGAAGAGCUCAAAUUUGAAAUCUUAAAGGGUUUCCCUUUACGAAUUGUAGUUUAAAGAAGUGUUUUCUGUUAGUGAGGUGGCUAAAAGUUCUUUGGAAUAGGACAUCAUAGAGGGUGAGAAUCCCGUAUUUGACCUUUACUUUCAACUUUGUGAUACACUUUCAAAGAGUCGGAUUGUUUGGGAAUGCAGUCCAAAAUGGGUGGUAAAUUUCAUCUAAAGCUAAAUAUUGGCGAGAGACCGAUAGCGAACAAGUACCGUGAGGGAAAGAUGAAAAGAACUUUGAAAAGAGAGUUAAACAGUACGUGAAAUUGUCAAAAGGGAAGCGUUUGACACCAGUGUUGUUUUCCUGAAAAUCAAUUAAAGAACUGUUUAUGCUAAGCUGUUUAGACUUUAUCAGCUAACUGUUUAGUUUUGAGCUUUUCUUUAAUGCACUUUUCAGUUAACAAGUCAACAUCAAUUUCUUUUGCUGUAAAAAAGCUUGAGGAAGGUGGCUUGAGAUUCGUCUUAAGUGUUUAUAGCCUCUUGCCUAUGCAGUCGGAGAGAUUGAGGUCUGCAGCGUAGAUCCUUCGGGGCUAAAUGCAUUUGUGCUAAGUUAUAGCAUUUCAUAGACAACUUGUUGACUAUGAUUUGUCUUGUAGCUUACUCGCUUAUGUUAUUUUACCUACGCUUAGGAUGUUGAAGACUCUACAGAGAUA
rnacentral:rRNA from 1 species